ensembl:lncRNA
AUGCCUCCUGUAACAGCUGUAUUACACUGGAAUGUAGGACUGCUGUUUGUCUUCCUCCUGGAGUUUACAUCUGCAGACCAGAAAAAUAUCACAGCUAAGUCUGGACAGGAUGUCACUCUGCCAUGUCAAGCGCCAGACAACAACAUCAUCAUGAUCAUAGAGUGGAGCAAAACUGACCUCAAGGAAGAAUAUGUUUUUGUGUAUCGGAAUAAGAUGCCCGAUCUGGAAAACCAGCAUCCAUCUUUUAAAAACCGAGUGGAUCUGCAGGACAUACAGAUGAAGGAUGGAGACGUGUCUUUGAUUCUGAACAAUGUGACGAUUAAUGACACUGGAACAUACCAAUGCCAUGUCUUUACAACAAAAACUCAAAGGAAGAGAGAAAAUCACAGUGUUGUCCCCAUCAGCAUCAUCUACCUUCAUGUUGAUCCUCCAGGUCAGACAGGAGGACACACAGAGGAUGGAUCUGUUGGACUGAUAGUUGAUCACUUUCUGCUUUGGUUCUGGUUGCUGCUGCUGGUUUUGUGAUCUACAGAAAACUUAAUGCUCAUCAGAGACAGGAUUCCUACCAGCCUGCGGCCUGCAGCAAGUUUGAAAUUCUGCCAUUCCAAGCUUGAUGUUUUCGCUCAGCAAGGCUCAAGACAUUACCUGACAAUGUACAGAAAUAAAUGUUACUUCAUAUCACUACCAUAAAAACAUUUCUAGAAUUUGAGAAACUGACCAAUAAGUGGCUGAAACAAGCACAAAACUAGAGUAUAAUUGCAGCAUCAUCCACUGUGAUGGGCUCUAAAGAUGUUGGAGCUGCUGAUAAACACGUUCCCAGCGGUGAACCAGACUGAGAAAAAAACCCCCCUCUUUCCUGUUUGUUCCCAUGCUGCAUAAAAAAUUUAAAUCACAUCCAUGGAUUAAAUUGUGCUGAAUGUGGGAUUUCUCUUUCCCAAACUCAGAGGGUGACAAGCUGUUUGACACGACUGGUGUGUUGGUGGGUCAGAGGAUGUGAACUCUCAUACACGAUCACAUCUCAAACAGUCCAGUGCACUUCAUGAAACAGUCACAACAUCUAAUCAUGAUUCAUGUCCCUGAACACUAAAUUAAUAUUUUCCCCUUUCAUCACAUUUGAACUAAUUCACUGUUUACACGUCUAAGCAAAAAAAACAACAACAAAACUCCCUGGAACGUCUGCAGGUUGUUCAAAAUGCUGCAGCAAGGCUUCUGUACGAAUCCUCGAAGUACUCACAUGUGACACCGUUGCUAAUACAGCUGCAGUGGCUCCCCAUUUUAAGAUCCUGGUUCUGACCUCUAGAGCUCUUCGUGGACAAGCACCAGUGAUACAAGCAUCACUGAACUUCUACAGCCAUAUGUCCCCAGCUGGUCAUGUGAUCAGGGCUACUUGUUAUACAGCAUACAAGGCUGAGAACUAUGGGAGACAAAGCUUUAGCCACUGUGGCUCCCAGACUGUGGAACUCUCUCCCACUGAGUGUAAGAUCUGUGGACUCAGCAGCCUCGUUUAAAAACAACUAAAACUUAUCUUUUUAGAAUUACAUUUAGGGAACUUUUCGUCUGUUUCUGUUUUUGUUUUACACCUUGUUAUUCUCUGUGUGAAGCACUUUGUGAUCUUUUGUCUAGAAAGGUGCUGUAUGAAUAAAAUGUUACUUUACUUUCUGCUGCUGCCGCUGUUUUUUUUUAAUCUAUGGACAACACAGUCGGAGUUUAUAUCGGUUUGUUGUUGAACUGCAGCGUGUUUGAAACGUGUCAGAUGGAAACAUCACGCUGAAUGAUCAGCCAGCCGACCCUCACACUCAACAGAGACUGGGGUUUGAAGAGGAAAUGGAGUCAUUCACUACUGACUCAUGUUUCCUGAAGGGUGAACUCUUGCACAGGAACAUGAAUCCCUGAGUCCCUGAAGUAGUCCGACACAGUCUCACAGCACUUCAUGAAACAGUCACAACCUCUAAUCCUGUCCCUGAACACAAGAUUAAUAUUUUCCACAUUUAAAGUGAUAAAAAGUUCACAUUUGGAGCUUGGAGAGGCUCACAGUGGAGCAAAUCAUUUCAGUUCACACCACAGACACAAGUUUGUCACAGAUUUUUACACUUAAGGUUCAGAGUUUAAACACACUAAUAAAGAUCAUGUUUGGGUUAAAAUACUGAGGCUGCCACUUCUUCAGGCUCUGUUUCCAUGGUGACACAUGCCCGGCAAUGGUGCACAUGAAAGAUACCACCUCCUGAAAUACUUCACCUACAAAGUCAUGCUACUGGGUACUAUGGUCAACACUUUAUUUUUAUUUAGAGAAACUAAUGUUGAAAUGUAAGCAUUCCUACAGGAACCAGUUUGUUCCUGCUAAUUUCAUAUUUUCUGUGAUCCAGAGCUCAGAAUUACUGUGCAGCACAGAUUUCCUUUUCAUUGUUACAAAGUGUUUACUCUAACAGUUUCCUCCUCGAACACAUCCCCUCACUUAAAGUAAAUUCUUUUCAUUAGUGCUAUGCAAUAGUGUAAAAAAAACAUUUCCUGUGGAAGUGAUUAUUAAAGACAUUUAUCCUUUACUUCAUCCUGCAUUUGACUUGGCCUACUGUUUCCAGUAGUUAUCUUGCAGAAACAGAAAUAAAGUAUAAACAUCCCAUACCCACCCUCCUCUGUUCUCGGAAACUGGGAGUGUGUGCGCUUUGGGGCAUAUUUUUAAAAACAGUUUGUGCCUGAUACAUAGAGGUUAUGUGUUGACUUUUAAACAGCGAAGAUGUGAUUUCA